GACGAACGCUGGCGGCGUGCUUAACACAUGCAAGUCGAGCGGUAAGGCCCUUUCGGGGGUACGACGAGCGGCGAACGGGUGAGUAACACGUGGGUGACCUGCCCUCAGCUCUGGGAUAAGCCUGGGAAACGUGGGUCUAAUACCGGAUAUGACUCCAUGACGCAUGUUGUGGGGUGGAAAGCCUUGUGCGGCUGAGGAUGGGCCCGCGGCCUAUCAGCUUGUUGGUGGGGUGANGGCCUACCAAGGCGACGACGGGUAGCCGGCCUGAGAGGGCGACCGGCCACACUGGGACUGAGACACGGCCCAGACUCCUACGGGAGGCAGCAGUGGGGAAUCUUGCGCAAUGGGCGAAAGCCUGACGCAGCGACGCCGCGUGAGGGAUGACGGCCUGGUU
rnacentral:rRNA from 1 species